CAUUGUUGUGCAACUGGUAACCCAAAAAUAAAAAUAUGGUUGUAAAUGCAUUUACCGGUCAUUCUGAUAUUAAUGCUCGCUAUGGGAACACAGGAUGGCCGGGCAGUGAUAGUUGUACAUUUCCAUCACUCGUUGUGUUGAUUUCAUCAUGUCCAUUACGUGAUGUUUUUUCACUAUAGAAUCAUAUUGUAAGUGCACGUGCAUUUGCAAUAUGUUUCAAUGUGCAUUUACCAUAUGAAAUUUGACAUGCUCAAAAAUGCAAAAUUGACUGGUCUGAUGAACACAGGAUGGCUGAGCAGUGAUAGUUGUACAUUUCCAUCACUCGUUGUGUUGAUUUCAUCAUGUCCAUUAGGUGAUGUUUUUUCACUAUAGAAUCAUAUUGCAAAUGCACGUGCAUUGUUGUGCAACUGGUAACCCAAAAAUAAAAUAUGGUUGUAAAUGCAUUUACCGGUCAUUCUGAUAUUAAUGCUCGCUAUGGGAACACAGGAUGGCCGGGCAGUGAUAGUUGUACAUUUCCAUCACUCGUUGUGUUGAUUUCAUCAUGUCCAUUAGGUGAUGUUUUUACACUAUAGAAUCAUAUUGCAAGUGCGCGCGCAUUUGCAAUAUGUUUCAAUGUGCAUUUACCAUAUGAAAUUUGACAUGCUCAAAAAUGCAAAAUUGACUGGUCUGAUGGACACAGGAUGGCCGAGCAGUGAUAGUUGUACAUUUCCAUCACUCGUUGUGUUGAUUUCAUCAUGUCCAUUAGGUGAUGUUUUUUCACUAUAGAAUCAUAUUGCAAAUGCACGUGCAUUGUUGUGCAACUGGUAACCCAAAAAUAAAAAUAUGGUUGUAAAUGCAUUUACCGGUCAUUCUGAUAUUAAUGCUCGCUAUGGGAACACAGGAUGGCCGGGCAGUGAUAGUUGUACAUUUCCAUCACUCGUUGUGUUGAUUUCAUCAUGUCCAUUAGGUGAUGUUUUUACACUAUAGAAUCAUAUUGCAAGUGCGCGCGCAUUUGCAAUAUGUUUCAAUGUGCAUUUACCAUAUGAAAUUUGACAUGCUCAAAAAUGCAAAAUUGACUGGUCUGAUGGACACAGGAUGGCCGAGCAGUGAUAGUUGUACAUUUCCAUCACUCGUUGUGUUGAUUUCAUCAUGUCCAUUAGGUGAUGUUUUUUCACUAUAGAAUCAUAUUGCAAGUGCGCGCGCAUUUGCAAUAUGUUUCAAUGUGCAUUUACCAUAUGAAAUUUGACAUGCUCAAAAAUGCAAAAUUGACUGGUCUGAUGGACACAGGAUGGCCGAGCAGUGAUAGUUGUACAUUUCCAUCACUCGUUGUGUUGAUUUCAUCAUGUCCAUUAGGUGAUGUUUUUACACUAUAGAAUCAUAUUGCAAGUGCGCGCGCAUUUGCAAUAUGUUUCAAUGUGCAUUUACCAUAUGAAAUUUGACAUGCUCAAAAAUGCAAAAUUGACUGGUCUGAUGAACACAGGAUGGCUGAGCAGUGAUAGUUGUACAUUUCCAUCACUCGUUGUGUUGAUUUCAUCAUGUCCAUUUGUUUAUGUUUUCUCACUUUUGCAAAGUCACUGUGCAUUUGCAAUAUGGUUCAAUGGGCAGGUACCAUCACGAAUUUGUCAUGCUAUAAAAAUCCUGCAGGAAUGUGAAAUUGACUGGUCUGAUGAACACAGGAUGGCCGAGCAGUGAUAGUUGUACAUUUCCAUCACUUGUUGUGUUGAUUUCAUCAUGUCCAUUAGGUGAUGUUUUUUCACUAUAGAAUCAUAUUGCAAAUGCACGUGCAUUGUUGUGCAACUGGUAACCCAAAAAUAAAAAUAUGGUUGUAAAUGCAUUUACCGGUCAUUCUGAUAUUAAUGCUCG